rnacentral:rRNA from 1 species
GACGAACGCUGGCGGCGUGCUUAACACAUGCAAGUCGAACGGAAAGGCCCUGCUUUUGUGGGGUGCUCGAGUGGCGAACGGGUGAGUAACACGUGAGUAACCUGCCCUUGACUUUGGGAUAACUUCAGGAAAGUGGGGCUAAUACCGGAUAGGAGCUACUGCCGCAUGGUGGGGGUUGGCAAGUUUCGGCGGUUGGGGAUGGACUCGCGGCUGAUCAGCUGGUUGGUAGGGUAGUGGCUAACCAAGGCUUGGACGCGUAGCCGGCCUGGGAGGGUGACCGGUCACAACGGGAAUAAGACACGGACCACUCCGCGACGCAGGGGAGGAGAAUAUAACACUGUAGGAGGGGGCAAAAUGUGACAAAGCCGCGUGGGGGAAGUCAGCAUUCGGGUUGUAAAGCACUUUCGUCUGAGACGAGGCGAGAGUGACGGUAAUGGGUAAAGAAGCACCGGCUAACUACGUG